AAGGAUCAUUACAGUGUUAUCACAACAUCGGCCGCGGGAGGGGGGUUUAAGAUGCUGGCCCGAAAGAGGGCAUGUCGUGACUCGCCCCCCUUCCGUUUCCGUUGCUUGCGCAUAUAUAUCCACACCCGUGAACCUUAAUGGGAGGGUUUGCCCCCUCCCUUUUUUCAAAACCAAAGCCUGUUGAAACGCAUGUCUUGAAGCCCCCACGGGGGUGAGUAAAAAAAGUUUAAUACAACUUUCAACAACGGAUCUCUUGGCUUUCGCAUCGAUGAAGGACGCCGCGAAAGUGCGAAACGUAAUGUGAAUUGCAGAAUUCAGUGAAUCAUCGAAUCUUUGAACGCAUCUUGCGCUCCUUGGCAUUCCGAGGAGCAUGCCUGUUUGAGUGUCGUGAAGCCAUCCCUCGACCCGACUCCUUGGUAGAGUCUGGGUUGGAUUUGGACGUCUGCGGGGGUCCUCUCGCUCGUCUUUAAAUGCAUCAGCUGGCCCCUCACUUCGGGUCGGACCGAUCGACGGUGUGAUAAUAACAAAUCGAACGCCGUUUUGGCCCGACUUUUGCGUGGGGUCGCUUCUAACCCCGGUUCCCCUCGUUUUGGGACCGAUUCGACCAUUUGACCUCAAAUCAGGUAGGACUACCCGCUGAACUUAA
rnacentral:rRNA from 1 species